AAAAACAUAACUAUAUGUGAUUAUAUAUAGCAAUUUCUGCUCAAUGAAGACUUAAAUAGCCGCAGUACUUUGACUGUGCAAAGGUAGCAUAAUCAAUUGUCUUAUAACUGAAGUCUGGAAUGAACGAAUAUAUGGGGGGGGACUGUUUCCUGGGGAUAUGGGGAAUUUAUUUAAAAAGUGCAAAUACUUUUAGAGACAUAUUAGACGAGAAGACCCUAGAAAUUUUUGUAGAACCAAAUAUCCUUGUAAAUAUUUUGUUGGGGCGACAGGGUUACAGGUAACUUACUUUAAUUAACUUGCAUAGGAGUGUUAGGAAAGAUAAAAUUACUCUAGGGAUAACAGCAUAAUACAUUAAAGCUUGUGACCUCGAUGUUGGAUUAGGAAAGAUGGGGGUUUAGAAGAAUCCUGUCUGUGCUCUGUUCGAGCAAAUUU
rnacentral:rRNA from 1 species